rnacentral:misc_RNA from 1 species
GCCCCAGAACAUCCGCUUCCAGCUGCCUAUGAGGAUUCAUGGGCUUCCCUUCAAUGGGUGGUUGCUCACGCAGAUGGUGGCACCGAAGAAUGGCUCGAAAGUUAUGCAGACUUUAGACAGGUGUUUUUAGCAGGAGACAGUGCUGGCGCUAAUAUUACACACCACUUGGCCUUGCGGUUGAAGGACUCGAACCAGCAGGGUUCAAAUAUGAAGAAAGUUCAAGGCAUAGCUAUGAUCCACCCUUAUUUCUGGGGAAAAGAUCCAAUUGGAGAACAGGCAAAUGAUAGUUUAAGAAAAUCAAUGGUAGAUAAUUGGUGGAUGUUCGUUUGCCGGUCUAAUAAAGGGUGUGAUGAUCCCUAUAUUAACCCGUUUACGAAAGAAA